ensembl:lncRNA
CUGAGAGUCUUUAGGUGCCUUUUGGCAAACUCCAAAAAACAAGCAGGCCGUCAUGUGUCUUUUACUGAGGAGUGGCUUCUGUUUUGCCACUCUACCAUAAAGGCCUGAUUGGUGGAGUGCUGCAGAGAUGGUUGUCUUUCUGGAAGGUUCUCCCAUCUCUACAGAGGAACUCUAGAGCACUGUCAGAGUGACCAUUGGGUUCAUGGUCACCUCCCUAACCAAGGCCCUUUCCCCAUAUUGCUCAGUUUGGCUGGGUGUCCAGCUCUAGGAAGAGUCUUGAUGGUUCCAAACUUCUUCCAUUUCACAUUGAUGGAGGCCACUGUGUUCUUGUGGACCUUCAAUGCUUCAGAAAUGUUUUGGUACCCGUCCCCAGAUCUUUGCCUCGACACAAUCCUGUCUCGGAGCUCUACGGACAAUUCCUUUGACCUCAUGGCUUGUUGUUUUCUCUGACAUGCACUGUCAACUGUGGGAACUUAUAUAGACAGGUGUGUGCCUUUCCAAAUCAUGUCCAAUCAAUUGAAUCUACCGCAAGUGGACUGCAAUCAAGUUGUAGAAACACCUCAAGGAUGAUCAAUUGAAACAAGAUGCACCUAAGCUCAAUUUUGAGUCGCCAAUUUUUGGGUCUGAAUAGUUAUGUAAAUGUGAUAUUUCAUUUUUUCAUUUUAAAUACAUUUGCAAAGAUUUCUAAAAACCUGUUUUCGCUUUGUCAUUAGAAGGUAUUUUGUAAAGAUUGCUGAAGAUUUUUUAUUUAUUAACUCAAACAAAAUGUAGAAAAAGUCAAAUGGUCUGCAUACUUUCUGAAGGCCCAGUAAUUCUGUGGAUAAAAUAAUGGCACUGUACUAGCUAGGUUAGACAUAUUCCAUACAUUCUCCCUACAUAUAAUCCUUCUGUCAAACGUUCUAUUUCUGUCACUUUUAUUUGUGCAUGUUUUUAAUGGUUGUAACUUGCUUGAUGACAAUGGUUGCAUGCAGUCUGUUUUUGCAAUUGGCCACUUCGUCCUUCAGGUGUUCCCACUGCUUUUUGAGGGUCAGGACUGACUUCCGACUUCUGGAUGUCCUUCUAACUGGGGUGUUUCCCUCGGCACAUCACCAGACCUCUACUGAUGACUCCCGAGCACAGAGACUGAUGGUACAGCACCUCGCUGGAUCUGGCUGAAGUCUCUGCCCAGCCUGGCAGACUACAGAGGAAGCCACUUCUCAUAAAUCCACACAUCCUCACAGUCGUCAAAAAACUCAAACAGCUUCAACUGGCCCUCUAGUAUUUUCCUCCUGUGGAUUCAUUAAGGCAAUAACCAGCAAUAGACCCACUUCAAUCAACAGUUACCGUUCCUGUGGUAACACAUUUUACACAGACCUACAGGUACUAAUAGGCCUCUAUUGUCAUUAAAUAUAAACUAAGAACCAAUUCAAUCAAUUGCAGAUAAAGAGUGUUUAUGCUCUAUCUGAAGUGUAAACCAUUCUGAAACGAACACACCCGGCAAGAUGUUUCUCUCACAAAUGUCAUCAUUACUGAGGCAAAACCACACCUUUAGUUAAAAUAGAGUCUUAUGAAUGAACAUGUGGUUCUCCGUUAUCUGCAAUUGAUUGUAUUUGGGCCUAAGCGGUUGUGUGCAUGCUCACCUGUUCUUACUAAGUGCCACCAAAGAGCUGUACUGAGCACUGAGUGAUUUGACUGGAUCUGCCUGUACUCAUUUUGGGUACGGGCACCAUUUAUAUUUAGGUGCAGGAACUCUUCAAUUAUUUUGAGCUAAUAUUCUAAAGGAGGUGCAGGAACUCAAGCAGAAGAACAUGUGAGUUUCCAGUACACAGUUCUGGUGAGCUCCUGCCCAAGUCAAGUAGGUUACUGUGCUUAAGUAAAAAUACAUACACACUAGGUCUACAUACACACUAGGCCUAAAUACACUAGGCCUACAUAUACACUAGGCCUAAAUGCACUAGGCCUACAUAUACACUAGGCCAGUACACACCUUGCUCUGCUUGGUCAUUUUGGGGUCUAAUAGUCAAAUCAAAUUGCAUUGGUCACAUACACAUAUUUAGCCAAUGUUAUUGCGGGUUUAGAGAAAUGCUAGUGGACUCUCUCCUGUGUUGCCACCUAAACUAUUGGUAACUCAGACUGCCACCGAAGGACAUGUUAUGCCUGUCAGCUCCACUGCUCUUUGUAAAUGAUAAUUUCACCUCUGCUUUAUUCCACACGCAACCUUCCACUCAUGAUGAUUUACUGUACUGUAAUACACCUGCAUGACCAUACCUUAGCACUGCAGAAACAUGCUGCUGGGUUUGUUUCCAUGUGUCAGCAUGUUGGGGAUGAUGAUGAAAUGUCUCCCAGCUUGGCUCAGUCUCAGUCCCUUCAAAACAAACAGCACUCAGUGCUCCUAGCUUCCGGCUACAGUGUGUCUCAGUGUCUGUUUCUCCACACAACAGACAGUGAUUGCUCUGCAUUACAGGAUCUGUGUUUGUACUGAUCUGAUUAGUUUAGCACUAGCACCACCCGUCCUCCCAUUACUCCACAGUGAAAUCCCUGGCCUAAUCCACAGGACAGUCACAGAAGGCAUGGCCUUCAAGAUUAGGAGAAGUGCAGUUCAGACCAACGGCCUGCAGAGGGAGCCUGAAUCCCAGGUUGAUGCCCUUGUGUGUGAGUAUGUAUGUUUGUGUGUGCGUGCGUGCCUGCGUGUGUGUGUCGCCUAUCAUAUACAGGCAAAGUGUAUUUUCUCAACAGAAGGAUCUGUUAUCAGCAGUAAGAGCAGUAACUUCACAUUUAGUCCAAAAGGAGUUACUGACAUUUUUUAUACAUUAAAUACAUGCUUUAUCAUGUGGGCAAAAUCCUUCCUCCAUUGUGUUGUGCUGUAACUGAAACUGUAUGGAACUGAAAGCCAUAUACAAAUAAAUCUAUAAACACAAGUUAGUGUUGACAUUUUUUGUCAUGGAAACAUAUUCCAGUGGGUGUACCAAGUAAGAAGGCAGUAACUGCCAUCUAGGGUCAAAGGUCAUGUCAGAGGUAAGGGUCAAUAUCAGGGGCGUAGGCACGGGUUGGCCUGGGUGGGGGGCCACUGGGGAGCCAGGCCCGCCCAAUCAGAUUGAGUAAAAAUAUACUUGUCAGUAUUCCAAACGGGACAUUAUUUGCCUUUUUACUUAAGCACAGUAGCCUACUUGACUUCGGCAGGAGCUCACCAGAACUGAGUACCGACAAUUCAAAUUUUCUUCUGCUUGAGUUCCUGCACCUUCUUUAGAAUAUUAGCUCAAAAUAAUUGAAGAGUUCCUGCACCUAAAUAUAAAAAAUUAGUACGGGCACCAUAUUUCAGUCCAAGUCAAGCACUGGCCUAAACAUGCAUACAACAUCAGAUGGAAUUCAUAGGAAGCAGUAGGGAGGGAGUGGGAAAACUAAAGAGAUAGAGACUAUAUCGUGUCUUUGGCAUCAUUCAAAUGAAGACUGUUAUUUUAUCAAAUCAAUUCUCUGUAAUUAUUAUUACGUGAUUAUUCUAAUCAUGUAAAUGUAAUUAACUAGAAAGUCGGGGCACCAAGGAAAAUAUUCAGAAUACAAAGUUAUAAUUUUCCUAAUACACCAUUUCAGAUAUUUUCAUAUCUGAUCAAUUAAUUAAUUAAUUGUUCUUUACCUCACGUUAGUCUCAUUAUAAACUUAGUAAAUUGUUGGUUAUCUGCACCAACCCAGUCUUCACUAUGAAUCAUCCGUACAUCAAUUGUCUCAAUCAUUUAUUCAUUAUCUAACUAAAUAAUCACAGAAAUGCACACACAAACAAACAAAGCAGAUAUGGUUACAAGGAAAUGAUAGAGGAUGUGCCUUAGUGGUCUAAACCGGCAUGGCGGCUUGGUAGACAAAGGGACUGAGAAGGGCGCGAAAUACAAAAUACACUACGCGGUUGAUAAUUAUAACAAUUGAAAUGCUAAUCCUUCGCACAUGAACGCACACUCAUUCGGGAAUAACUGCAAUAAAUAUAUAUAUUUACGCUCAGUGUGUCGUGAUCUCUGUUGGAAUCGUCCUUCUUUCUGUUGGAAGUUCAUCAGCCUGUCUUUCGGUGUUAGAAUGGGUACUUCAGAGUCCCAUUCAGAAAUAUUCUUAUAGAAUAGAGGUUUCGGCGGUUGUCGGCCGAAGCAUUCAAUGGUAUAGAAUUCCUAGCUGCAGACUAAUAAUUAGUAUCAACGACUUGCUCUUAUUCUGUCGGUAUCGAUAGUCUCAGAGUUUCAACAAACAUUACAACCUUAGGUUUAUGGUCUCUACUCAAACCUUAGCCCUCUCAUGGUAAUCGAGGUAAGCUGGUCUGGUGGGAAAUCCUUCAGGUGGGGGUUAUAUUCAUAACAGCAGAAAAGGGCUGUCCCACGACGCCAGGUCAAUAUCUGUGCUCAUGGGGCGAGCCUAUGACUUAGUUAAACUCCAAAGGGAAUUGGAGUUUCCUUCAUUAAACAGUUUAUAAUCACAUUACAUCAUUUCACAAAUAGUUUCAUCUUUACUUAUUCAUUUUAUACAACAAUUAGAUGCAAGCCUUGUAUAAACAGAGUUAUGGUAAUGUGUUAUGUCUGUGUUAUUGACUUGUUUAUUGUUUACUCCAUGUGUAACUCUGUGUUGCUGUCUGUUCACACUGCUAUGCUUUAUCUUGGUCAGGUCGCAGUUGUAAAUGAGAACUUGUUCUCAACUAGCCUACCUGUUCACACUGCUAUGCUUUAUCUUGGCAAGGUCGCAGUUGUAAAUGAGAACUUGUUCUCAACUAGCCUACCUGUUUAAAUAAAGGUGAUAAAA